AGAGUUUGAUCCUGGCUCAGAUUGAACGCUGGCGGCAUGCCUUACACAUGCAAGUCGAACGGUAACAGGUUAAGCUGACGAGUGGCGAACGGGUGAGUAAUAUAUCGGAACGUGCCCAGUCGUGGGGGAUAACGCAGCGAAAGCUGUGCUAAUACCGCAUACGAUCUAUGGAUGAAAGCGGGGACUUGCAAGAGCCUCGCGCGAUUGGAGUGGCCGAUAUCAGAUUAGCUAGUUGGUGGGGUAAAAGCUCACCAAGGCGACGAUCUGUAGCUGGUCUGAGAGGACAACCAGCCACACUGGAACUGAGACACGGUCCAGACUCCUACGGGAGGCAGCAGUGGGGAAUUUUGGACAAUGGGCGCAAGCCUGAUCCAGCAAUGCCGCGUGCAGGAUGAAGGCCUUCGGGUUGUAAACUGCUUUUGUACGGAGCGAAAAGGUUCUUUCUAAUACAAGGGAUUCAUGACGGUACCGUAAGAAUAAGCACCGGCUAACUACGUGCCAGCAGCCGCGGUAAUACGUAGGGUGCGAGCGUUAAUCGGAAUUACUGGGCGUAAAGCGUGCGCAGGCGGUUUUGUAAGACAAAUGUGAAAACCCCGGGCUCAACCUGGGAACUGCAUAUGUGACUGCAAGGCUAGAGUACGGUAGAGGGGGAUGGAAUUCCGCGUGUAGCAGUGAAAUGCGUAGAUAUGCGGAGGAACACCGAUGGCGAAGGCAAUCCCCUGGACCUGUACUGACGCUCAUGCACGAAAGCGUGGGGAGCAAACAGGAUUAGGUACCCUGGUAGUCCACGCCCUAAACGAUGUCAACUGGUUGUUGGGUCUUUACUGACUCAGUAACGAAGCUAACGCGUGAAGUUGACCGCCUGGGGAGUACGGCCGCAAGGUUG
rnacentral:rRNA from 1 species